UUCUGCACUUUCCCAGCUAGGAAAGGAAGAAAAAGCACCUCUAUCCCUGUCUCUCUAAGCACCGUCUUACUCCGAACGAGGCAGACAUACAGCAACGUGGCUGGGCUACGGGCUGUCACUUUGCUAGUGAAAAUAUGUGAAGAGGCAUCAUGCAAAGGAUUUGUGAAUAUUUGGCUGAAAUAAAUACCAGUCCUAAGCAUUCAGACCUCAAUCUUCUGAAUCAAGUAUUUCCAAUCUUCUUUCUGAUCCAAAUCUAUUUUAAAGCUGAAGAUGACAAGUUCUGUAACUCUUCCUCAAAUUUUCAGCUUGUUCCUGGGGUUCCGGUAGGAUCUGGAAGACAUGAACUAGCAAAGUUACACCACUGAGUCAUUCUGUGAGCACAGAAUCAGUGGAAAAGAAGUAUUUCCUUUGGAUAUUUGGUCAGAAGACUGAAGACCUAAGUGGAUUCUCAGAUGCCUAUUACUUUUUCCAGUGGGAUUAGUCUCUCUCUUCUCUGUCCAGGUGAAUGUUUAUACACUAAUACACACAUAAAAGCAAUGACUGAACAAUACUCUACUUACACCCACAUAACAAACUGAUAGAAACUGGCCAGCAGGUGGGAAAGGUAUUAGAGAGAAGGAGGAGAGGAGCUGACAGACAUUUCUUAGAAAACCAUGUUAGAAUAAGGCAUGGAAAAAUCCAGUCUGUGGGAAGGAUUUUAAAACCCUGUGUAUGAUUCAUGUUUUUUGGAGAGAAUACCAGAUUUUUCUAUUUAAAACAACAUCAUCAAAACAUAGGGCAGUGAUUUUUUUUGUUUUGUUUUGUUUGAUUGGGGGUUUUUGGGGUUUUUUGGUUUUUGGUUGUUUUGUUGUUUUGGGGGGGUUUUUUUGUGCUGUAGACUUCUUUUUGCAUUGCACCUUACAAAGAAACAGAAAAGGUAAGAUUCUUGGCUAUUGAAAAACUGACAGACAAGUAAAGGAAAAAUAUUCCCUUUCAGAAGGGAGAAGCCAGGAGAAAUUAUAUUUUAAUUUUCACAUCUUUAUACAGACAAGUUUGUUCCUACCCUGGAAAAGGUUGGGAGGAGGGGCGUGUAAAAUAGCUAAAGAUGGCCAGGAACAUGGCACACAACAUAGCAGACAGCUGUCUUGGGUGAAAAUCUGGGUUCAUACAAGGGCAGAAAGGCUUCUCUUGGUGCUAAUUGGUUCUCACCAGAGAAAGUAAC